rnacentral:lncRNA from 1 species
UACUCUGUAGACCAAGUUGGCCUCAAACCCACAGAGCUCCACCUGCCUCUGCCUCUCAAGUGUUGGAAUUAAAGGAGAGAGAGAACCACCUUGCUCCCCACCUGCGGGGAGAGCCAGAGCCAAGCGCCCGGUAGAACCCAGCAUCUCCACACUGGUCGACUCAUGGUCUCUCCAUACAGCUUGCCUCUCAGCCAAUCCUUUCAGAUGUUCAAGUUCAGACCCAUGACCUACCCCAGGCUGGCCCAAGUGCCCCUGAAGUUAGCCAUCAUGUGGAGGGUCCCAAUGAAGAGAGAUAAAGGUCCAAGGGAGAUGUGGUAUGA